CCUGCCCAUAGAACUUCCUGAAGUCUACGGGGUUCUUGAUGAUUGUCACAGACAGUGGAGAAGGUCCUCUGGGCAGAACGACCCUCUGAAUGCUGCCAGUCGCUGCUCCUGCCUGGUGGAAGCAACUCUACGAUCGGCGCUGGAGAAGAAAGCCUGGAACUUACGAGAUGGAGCCCUUUGUGCAGAGCCACCAGACAUCCAAGGUCUUUUGUGCUCUUGCUCUUUGCCUGGCCCUCACAAGCCUUGCUGCGGCAUGGCUGCUCCUUGCCAGAAAGGAAGGCUGGGACUCCUUAUGUCGCAAGGCCACACGGCGGUGGGAACAGCGCUACGUCAGGUCUCCCCAGCCCUCGUCCAGGCUAGGGUGGAAUCACGGGGAGAGAAAUAUUUCACAGUGAGUCAAUUGUGCAGGUAACAGCAAAACCAGGCUUCAAAGAAACAUUGAAAACCGUGAAGCUCGGAUCUGCUGCUGGUUGGAAUAUUCUUUCAGCUACUCAAGGCAGAGGGUCACUCCAUCAGUAAGUAUCCUUGGUUCAAAAAUGGAUGCCCUUGCCUAAUCCUGAGGGUUUUCUGUCUCCCCUGUUUCCUGGCAGCCCUGAGUCCCAGUUCCACAGUGAGCCCGCUAAUUAAGACGAUGUUUAUCAAAGUACAGGAAAUCUGCGCCUUAAUGGCUGACUCCAAUCAAGUAAUUUUCCCAGGUUGGGAUUCUUGACUCAACGUCCACAGGGUUCCUGGGAGCUCCUGCUGUUACGUGUAAAACGUCGAGUGCAUUUUGCUCUGUGCACAGAGUCCGUAACCUCCACCAGGUCUUCAGAGGCACUGCUGACUAGUAGGUAACCUUCUUGCAGGGGCUUGGUGAAGGGCUCAGCCAGGAAAGUGCUUGUAGGGCAACAUGAGGAUCUGAAUUCAGAUCCCCAGCAUCCACACACGUGAUAGGGAAGAUUUGUAUUCCUAGCACGUGGGGCGCUGGGAUGGGGAGGUGAUAGGGAAGUAACUGGUGUGCUGGCUAGUUAAUCCUGACAAGUCAGAGAUCUCCAGUGGGAAACCCUAUCUCAAAAAAGGAAAACAGUGGAGCGCAAUUGAGGAAGACAUUCUGUGUCUACCUCUGGCCUUCA